AGGAUUUGUGUGUGGUUUUAUUCAACAGAAACAAAGGCAGGGAAGACACAUGCAAAACUAUGUCCUCUUUUGCAACCCGUAACUCAUUGUUCAAUACAAAUUUUGAUAUAAACAAGAAGAAAUGUG